rnacentral:rRNA from 1 species
AAACUAGGAUUAGAUACCCUAUUAUUUUAGAUUUAAAGGUUUAACUUGAGUAGUAUUAGGUAUGAUCUUGAAACUUAAAGAAUUUGGCGGUAUUUUAGUCUAGUUAGAGGAAUUUGUCCCAUUAUCGAUAAUCCGCGUUGAACCUUACUCAUUAUAAUUUAAUAUGUAUACCGCCGUUUAUUUGAAGAUCUUUUUAGGGUUAAUUUUCUUGAAAUUGGAGUUGAUUUUAUUUCAGGUCAAGGUGCAGUUGAUAAUUGAGUGGUGAUGAAUUACAUUAUUUAUAAUAUAUACGAAUUGAGAUUUGCAAUAUUUUAUGAAGGAGGAUUUAAUAGUAAUUAAUAAUAAGAAUUAUUUUUGUGAUUUUAGCUCUAGAAUGUGUACACAUCGCCCGUCACUCUCGUUAUUAAGAUGAGAUAAGUCGUAACAAAGUAGGUGUACCGGAAGGUGUAGCUA